rnacentral:rRNA from 1 species
GUUGGCUUGGAAGCAGCCAUUCAUUCAAAGAGUGCGUAACAGCUCACUAGUCGAGAGACCGGGCAUGGAUAAUAAUCGGGUAUUAAGUCAGAUACCGAAGGCACGGGGUAGCAGAGUAAUGAAAAGUACCGGUAGGGGAGCAUUCCACCUCCGUCGAAUGGUUUCCGUGAGGAUUCCUGGAGGGCGUGGAAAAGCAAAUGUAGGCAUAAGUAACGACUAGGGGCGUGAGAACCGCCCCCGCCGCAAGUCUAAGGUUUCCCGGGCGAUGCCAGUCAGCCCGGGGUCAGUCGGGUCCUAAGGCUCAGCCGAACGGCGAGGCCGAUGGCAGACACGGUUAAUAUUCCGUGACCCUCUGCUGGAGCGACGUGGAGACGGAGCAGUGACACCACCGCGCCCUGACGGAAUAGGGCGUUGAAGGCCGUAGGUGCUGACGGAGGCAGGCAAAUCCACCUCCAGAGCUGAAAGCCGACAGUACGCUUCCUCCUCCGGGAGGCGGCGACAGCGUGGGUAACCAUACUUCCUAGAAAAUCCGCUAAGCAUAUCCAUCUGAGGCCCGUACCGCAAUCCGACACAGGUAGACGGGUAGAACAUACUGAGGCGUUGGGAGAUUCAUGGCUAAGGAACUAGGCAAACUGACCCCGUAACUUCGGGAUAAGGGGUCCUCACGGCAACGUGAGGCGCAGAGAAUAGGCCCAGGCAACUGUUUAACAAAAACACAGGGCUGUGCAAACUCGAAAGAUGAUGUAUACAGCCUGACACCUGCCCGGUGCCGGAAGGUUAAGAGGAGGAGUCAGCCCCUUGUGGGUGAAGCCCCGAGUUGAAGCCCCGGUAAACGGCGGCCGUAACUAUAACGGUCCUAAGGUAGCGAAAUUCCUUGUCGGGUAAGUUCCGACCUGCACGAAUGGUGUAAUGAUCCGGACACUGUCUCAACCGUGAUCCCAGUGAAAUUGUAGUAUCGGUGAAGAUGCCGAUUACCCGCGAUGGGACGAAAAGACCCCGUGAACCUUUACUACAGCUUAGCGCUGACCUUGGUCAUCCGAUGUGUAGGAUAGGCCGGAGGCUUCGAAGCGGGGACGCCAGUCUUCGUGGAGCCGCCCUUGAAAUACGGCCCUUUGGCUGUCCGAGGUCUAACGCGCGUUUUGCGCGGACACCGCUUGGCGGGUAGUUUGACUGGGGUGGUCGCCUCCAAAAGUGUAACGGAGGCUUCCAAAGGUGCCCUCAGGCCGAUUGGUAACCGGCCUCUAGAGUGCAAUGGCAUAAGGGCGCUUGACUGGGAGGGAGACAUCCCGAGCAGGCAGGAAACUGGGGCAUAGUGAUCCGGCGGACGCGUAUGGAAGCUCCGUCGCUCAAAGGAUAAAAGGUACUCCGGGGAUAACAGGCUGAUCCCCCCCA